GAGGUGGGGAAUUUGGUGGUGGAGGUGAGCGUAUACAAUAAGGCAAUGGUGAUGGAGGAGGUGGAGAUGGUGGUGGCGAAUAAACGGGUGGGGGAGGAGGUGGAGGUGAUGGUGGAGGGGGAGAUGGUGGCGGUGGUGGUGAUGAAUAAACUGGUGGUGGAGGUGGAGAUGGCGGGGGUGGUGGUGGAGGUGAUGGUGGAGGAGGAGAUGGAGGUGGGGGUGGAGGUGAAUAGACUGGUGGUGGAGGCGGGGGAGGUGAUGGAGGAGGUGGAGAGGGUGGUGGUGGCGGUGGUGAAUAAACUGGAGGUGGAGGAGGUGGUGGGGAAGGAGAAGGAGGAGUAUAAACUGGUGGCGGAGGCGAAUAAACAGGUGGCGGAGGGGCAGGCAAGGGCGGUGAAAGUGGCGGAGGAGGUGGCAAAACAGGAACAAAUUUAUGACACCUGAAAGCACUACAAUGAAUUUUUUUAGACAAAAAGGCCUUACACUGUCCCGGAGAGCGUUGCACCGGUCUGUUGGGCAAACAAUUCCGUUCAUCAUGAAACUCCGGCAACCCCAAACACACCGGCGGUUCACCAGUGAAGAAAUUAUAAGA
rnacentral:lncRNA from 1 species